UGAAAAAUUAGCGGAUGACUUGUGGCUGGGGGUGAAAGGCCAAUCAAACCGGGAGAUAGCUGGUUCUCCCCGAAAGCUAUUUAGGUAGCGCCUCGUGAAUUCAUCUUCGGGGGUAGAGCACUGUUUCGGCUAGGGGGUCAUCCCGACUUACCAACCCGAUGCAAACUACGAAUACCGAAGAAUGUUAUCACGGGAGACACACGGCGGGUGCUAACGUCCGUCGUGAAGAGGGAAACAACCCAGACCGCCAG
rnacentral:rRNA from 1 species